AGUGGGGAAUAUUGCACAAUGGGGGAAACCCUGAUGCAGCAACGCCGCGUGGAGGAUGAGGGUCUUCGGAUUGUAAACUCCUUUGAUCGGGGAUGAAUAAUGACAGUACCCGAAAAACAAGCCACGGCUAACUACGUGCCAGCAGCCGCGGUAAUACGUAGGUGGCAAGCGUUGUCCGGAAUUAUUGGGCGUAAAGGGCGCGUAGGCGGUCUUUUAAGUCAGAUGUGAAAUCCCGAGGCUCAACUUCGGGCGUGCAUUUGAAACUGGGAGACUAGAGUGCAGGAGAGGUAAGUGGAAUUCCUAGUGUAGCGGUGAAAUGCGUAGAUAUUAGGAGGAACACCAGUGGCGAAGGCGACUUACUGGACUGUAACUGACGCUGAGGCGCGAAAGCGUGGGGAGCAAACAGGAUUAGAUACCCUGGUAGUCCACGCUGUAAACGAUGGAUACUAGGUGUGGGAGGUAUCGACCCCUUCCGUGCCGCAGUAAACGCAAUAAGUAUCCCGCCUGGGGAGUACGGCCGCAAGGUUG
rnacentral:rRNA from 1 species